CAAAAACAUAGCCAUAAGGCAGAUUUAUGGUAAUUUCUGCUCAAUGAUAGUUUAAAUAGCCGCAGUACUUUGACUGUGCAAAGGUAGCGCAAUCAAUUGGCUCUUAAUUAGAGUCUUGUAUGAACGAAUAUAUAAAAGGGUGACUGUAUCUAUAAUACAUUUGAAAUUGCUAAGUAAGUGCAAAAACUUAUAUAAUCUAAUAGACGAGAAGACCCUUGAAAUUUUAAGAACUCAAAAUAAUUCUUUUUGUUGGGGCAACAUGGUAACAGUUAAUUUACUUGAUGACACGCAAGGAUUUUCUUGAAAGAUUAAAUUACUCUAGGGAUAACAGCAUAAUUUUAUAUAGUUUAUGACCUCGAUGUUGGACUAGGGAACUUGAGUUUAGAAGACUUAUAGGUACGCUCUGUUCGAGCG
rnacentral:rRNA from 1 species